rnacentral:misc_RNA from 1 species
GAAGUGCGAUAAGCAAUGCGAAUUGCAGAAUUCCGCGAAUCAUCAGAUCUUUGAACGCAAAUGGCGCUGGAGGGAUAUCCUUCCAGCAUGUCUGUUUCAGUGUCUGAGAGGUUUCAUACUAAUCUUAAUGUGAUUGAAGGGUUGUUGGCUCACACCUCCUAACUCUUCUCUCAUGAAAGAUGCGUGAGUGGAUCUUUCGGUCCAAUGAAGUGGUCACAUCACUCGUAUGUGAUUUCAUUGGGAAUCACCGAAUUAUUCGUAUACUCACAGUAACUAAAACAAAAAAACUUCCAUACCCUGCAUCUGAGAUAGGCAAGAUCACCCGCUGAACUUAA